GAUCCUGUGGUGUAGUGGUUAUCACGUCUGCCUAACACGCAGAAGGUCCCCAGUUCGAAACUGGGCAGGGUCA
rnacentral:tRNA from 1 species